AGCUGUCUUCGCUGGUUUUGCUGAAGGCCAACUGAGGAUGUUUUGGCCUGGAAGUCCCAGGGUGUACACACUCUAAUAGAGUGAUGAAGCCUGCGCAGACUUAAGGGUUUUGGUCCUAUUGGUUGGGAAUACUAGUCCCAGCAGUGUGUUUAUUUGAACAGAAACUUCUCACAACGAAACAAGCAGAGGUGGCAUGGAGCCCAUCAUAAAGACGUGGCAUCGAUACUGGACUUGUUCCUAUGCUGGUGUGUGGCAGAGACCACAUACCUGGUUAGUAGAGAAAGUGUACCUCCCAUUCAGUCUUGCUCUCUUACAUGGAAGGCACAUCAUGACCAGUGACUCUGUCUUCUGCAAGCCUGGAGAUGAGGUGGCCACAAGACUGAUAGGGACGGCUGGUGGCCAGUGCACCCUUGUGGACAGUAUUGGCCCUAAUUUGGUCAUUUUAAGCAAGGAUGUAACCAUAAACACCACCCUGCGUCCAGAAAUUAAGGUUUCCUAAACAAUUCUCAGAAGGCAGUUCCUGGCAGCACUUAAACCCCAAGAAAGCAAAGAGAAGCCUGAAACAAAAUCCAGAUGCCUUUCACAGAACAUUAGCUUUGUUAUGGAGGGCAGUGCUGCCAAAGAGAAAUGACCUCUCAGGCUUACCAUACAUUGUCCCAAACGGUGUCCUCAGAAAAGUAAACAUAGUGCCACAUAGAUUAAUGUGCUACAAAGUAAGAAUGUCCAGGAACCUUGGGAAUGUCUGUGCUCCCAUGAGAUGGAAAGGAUCAGCAAGCCCACUUCCCGUAUUGUCUGUCCUGAGGCACUCUGCCAGAAGGCCAUCCAACAGGUGCCUGGGCAUCACGGUCCAUAUCUCAGCAACUUUUGGGUCCUCAUUUGUGUGGCACCGUCUGGAAUGGUGUGCAGUAAUUUUUCUCAUUGGCAGUAGAAGAAAAAGCCCUGUGAAGUUCAGUACUGUUUGCUGUAAAGAUUAUCGUUGAAGACACAGUUUUCUAGCUUAUAGGAUGUUACCUUGGAGUACCCACAGGAUAAAUUCUCCUGUCUGCACUAAGUCACGUAACCUCCCCAAUCAGACACCGGGAAUGAGUUUCGUGUCCUCACUCUCUCUGGUAUAAUCUUAUUUUAUCUACACUCAUUUGUACUUACUUCCUACUUUCCCCAUUAACUUAAUUUUUAUCUUAUUUUUGGCAUUUUUGUAAAUUGCCUUAUGUUCUUUUUGGAAUACAAAUUUAUUUAAAUAAAGAGGAUGUUGAAAUUUGA